rnacentral:rRNA from 1 species
CCCUUAGAUGUCCUGGGCCGCACGCGCGCUACACUGAUGCAUUCAACGAGUAAUUAUUCCUUGGCCGAGAGGCCUGGGUAAUCUUUUAAACGUGCAUCGUGAUAGGGAUAGAUUAUUGCAAUUAUUAAUCUUGAACGAGGAAUUCCUAGUAAACGCAGAUCAUCAAUCUGCAUUGAUUACGUCCCUGCCCUUUGUACACACCGCCCGUCGCACCUACCGAUUGGAUGGUCCGGUGAAGCCUCGGGAUUGUGGUUCUUGCCGCUUUAUUGUGGCGUGACCGCGAGAACUUGUCUAAACCUUAUCAUCUAGAGGAAGGUGAAGUCGUAACA